UACGUAGGGUGCAAGCGUUAAUCGGAAUUACUGGGCGUAAAGCGUGCGCAGGCGGUUUUGUAAGUCUGAUGUGAAAUCCCCGGGCUCAACCUGGGAAUUGCAUUGGAGACUGCAAGGCUAGAAUCUGGCAGAGGGGGGUAGAAUUCCACGUGUAGCAGUGAAAUGCGUAGAGAUGUGGAGGAACACCGAUGGCGGAGGCAGCCCCCUGGGUCAAGAUUGACGCUCAUGCACGAAAGCGUGGGGAGCAAACAGG
rnacentral:rRNA from 1 species